ensembl:lncRNA
AUAAACAGAACUUACCACUACGGAGAUACCACACCAAGAGAUAAACAGAACUUACCACUACGGAGAUACCACACCAAGAGAUAAACAGAACUUACCACUACGGAGAUACCACACCAAGAGAUAAACAGAACUUACCACUACGGAGAUACCACACCAAGAGAUAAACAGAACUUACCAUUACGGAGAUACCACACCAAGAGAUAAACAGAACUUACCACUACGGAGAUACCACACCAAGAGAUAAACAGAACUUACCGUUACGGAGAUACCACACCGUCUUUCUGACGCCGAGCCUCACCAAGUGUGGACAUGGAAAAUAGUUCUUGCCUCACCACAUUUUGUUUUAAUGGUAAAUGGAAAACCACAUGGAAAAUUGCUCUUUUUGUGAAUGUUUUUUUUUUUUUUUAAUGGUCUUUAUUUUGUCAGCUGUUUUUGUGGGAUGUUUUUUUAUUCGCUGGUUUUGUUUCAUCAAUGCCAUCACAGCUGCAGGGUUUUUUUUUUCCAGGAGUUUUUUUUUUUUGCAGCUGAUUUUUUUAUUUAUUUUUUUGACCAUUUGAAAGUCUUUAUUUUUUUUUUUUUUUUGACAUUUCAAAAAUAAAUCCAAGAAAGAAUCCCGAAGCAAAGCUGUCAUACAAAUCAUUAAAAUCCAGACAGAAAAUAUUUACACAAGAAGCAAUCUAAUAUCACACAAGUCAAAACUCUCCCGUCGUUUAGUUUAAGUUCACUGUUAAUAAACAUCAGGCGUUUCAACACAGCGGCUCUUUAUGGCAUCAUUUGAUCUGAUCAGUCAACGACAAUUUUCUUUUUCCCCCUAAAGUAAUCUAGUAUCAUUUUCAUUUCAAUCCAAUAAGCAAACAAAAAUUAUAAAAAAACUGUACCAAUUUUCAUGUUAAACUACUUUUACAAAUUAAAAGCAGGAAGAAAAAUAGCCACUAUUAUUUACAUGAAACUCCCACGUGACUUUGUCUAGUAAUCUUCUGAAUCGCCACAACAGAAUUAAUAAACUGUUUAGGUUCUGACCUAUUGUGAAAUGCAUCUAGUAGUUAAAAAAAAAAAAAAAAAAGCCAAUCAGAAACUGCGAAAAAAAAAAAAAAAAAAAAUUGCGUUAGCAUUUCGUCCAAUCAGGGGCCGUCUUCAUCUGCGCCAGGGGCGGGGUUCGUUGUCGUCAUCCUCCUCGUCGUCGUCCUGGAGCAACGCAUCAUCAAUCAGCGACUCUUCCUGGAACUACAAAAAAAAGGGGACAAGACAAGACGACACUAUUAUAAAGAAAGAAAAACAAGAGAGUAGAUCAUCUCUGGCCAUCCUAAACUCUUUAAUCUGGUCACAUGUUACGCCCACAGGAACAUGAGUUUCUUUACAUUGGAGUCAUUUAGCAGACACUCUUAUCCAGAGCGACUAACAGGAGAAAUUAGGGUUAAAUGCCUUGCUCUUAAGGGCACAGACAUUUUUCACCUAGUCGGCUGGGGGAUUCGAACCAGCAACCGUUCGGGUUUACUGAUCAAACGCUCUCAACCGUUUAUGCUACCUUGUUGCCCUCUUCUCCUCAAUGAGUCUGAAACGGAGUAGCUCCCUCAAGCCUUCCCUGGAAAGCCAACAUGUUUGGGACCGUCUGAUUGGUCCAGAAACUAAUGGGUUGGGACAGAGCCAGAACAACACGUUGGGGACCGUCUGAUUGGUCCAGAAACUAAUGGGUUGGGACAGAGCCAGAACAACACGUUGGGGACCGUCUGAUUGGUCCAGAAACUAAUGGGUUGGGACAGAGCCAGAACAACACGUUGGGGACCGUCUGAU